AAUAACAAAUGAACAAUAAUAAUUAAAUAAGUCCACUUCCUUUGGCUGAGGUGUUGUAUAAUAGCCUGAUGGUAGUGGGAACAAAGGAUCUCCUGAACCUCUCUGUUCUGCAGCACAGUGAGAUCAGACGUUUGCUGCGCCUGUAGCUGCUUCUCUGUUCUGCCAGAAUUUUUUGGAGAGGAUGGUUGGUAUUGUCUAAGAUGGCCUCCAUCUUAUAUUGCAUACGUCCCUCCACAACAGUCCUCCUGCCAAGCACAGGCCCAGCCUUUUUGACCAGUUUUGACCUUCUUGUCCAGUCUCUUUGUGUUCAUGUCUGACAUGCUGCUGCCCCAGCAGUCCAGCUUGUCUUUAUGAAUGGGGAAUUAAGACAAAUAAGACAGAAACCCCAGCACUGGCAAGUCAGGGCAAUACUACAUCUACGCCAAGUAAGCAUCCAGGUCUUUUUAGUCAUCCAUCAUCAACAAUUGGAGGAGAAUCUGAUGGUUAGUUUGUUUUUCAUUUCUAACUUACAGAUGACUCAGUGCCAAUGUCAACACUACCAAUAUGUACACACAAUAGUGUAUGAGGUGAUAAAACCCUAUCACAUGAAAUGACUAUGCUUUCUCUGCUUAUGACAUUCCAUUCUAUAGCUGGGAUAUGUGUAUAAACCUGCUGCACACGCAACAGAGUUAUUUGGUGAUACUGAAAUGCUAGUAGGGAUCUCAACAGGGAUGACUGGAGUUGGACCACUUGCCUGAGGAUCAAGCUUUGGAAGAAACGUGUGUUGUAUAAUGACUAGACAUUACCCCAUUAUCGCCACAAUGAACCCCCAUUUGUGAUUCUACAUUGUGUUAUUGUCUUUUUGUAUUGUGUGAUAUGUACUCACAAUUGUUUUGUGUUAAGCAUCAAGUCCAUGGACAUUUUGGAGGACUGUAGUGGAUGAGGAAAAGGCGAACAGCUUUAUGAACAGUGUAAUUGAUUUGGACAAUGAACCGGCUUUAGACCCGUCAGAUGUUUACUAUGUCCCACCUAUCCGUGUGCGUGCUGCUGGUGGAUUACAGAAGGUCAUGAACAUGGCUCAAUGGACAUAAUGUGGUGACAGUGGGUAAGAGACAGACCAACCGAAACAGUGUGACCAUGGAGAAGCAAUUGCAGAUUUCAGCACUGAUGAGUGAGUAUAUAUUGAAGAAUUUUUUUAUUUGCCAUUUGUAACAAGUGUAAUUACUGGUACGGAGCCAGAACAGUCCCCUGUGGAGCCCCAGUGCUACUCAUCACUGUCCCUGAGACACAAGCCUGACGUACUGUGGUCAACUUGUCAGGCAUUCCACAAUCAACGACGUGAAGCAGGGAUCCACCCCCAUCCCUUCCAGCUUGUCUUUAAGAAUAGGGGGUUGGAUGGUGUAAAAUGCACUUGAGAAAUCAAAGAACAUAAUCCUCAUGUAACCACCUGGCUCAUCCAGGUAAGAAUGGGCCCAGUGGAGCAUGUAAAAGACGGCAUCAUCCACUCCAGUAUGUUCAUUGUAGGCAAACUGGGAGGUUUAGUGCAUGUUCAACCUGUGGCUUCAGAAGGUGGAGAAGCAGCCGCUCCAGGGUCUUCAUGAUUUGUGAUGUGAGGGCCACCGGUCUGUAGUCAUUUAUCUCAGCCGGUUGCCCUACUUUAGGUACCAGAACAAGACGUGAUGUUUUUCACAGGACCGGGACCCUCCCUGUUUGUAAACUUAAGUUGAAGGUCCUCUGGAGGGGCUCAUCCAGCUGGGCUGCACAGUCCUUUAACAGCCUCGGCCACACAAAGUGUAAAAUUUAUUUUUACAUGUACUUACCAAAUUUGGUUACAAAGGACUUGAAAUAUUUGUGUCUUUGUGUAUUUCUUUAUUCUGGACCCGGAGAAAGGGAUGUACAAGGAUCGAGGUGUGAUCCAUUCACUGGACAUCUGAAAUGCAGCCAAAAAUCUGACAAAGAAACUUCAUGUGGCUGGGGUGAUAUCUGGUCAGUCUGCCAUACUGGUCUGGAUGAGGUACAUUGUUAACCAUUUUUGUUUUUGCCGCCAGAAGGCGGACAAUCGAGAGGAGUUCAUGGUGAGUAUAAUGGGAUUUCACAAGACAAUACAACCACCACAAGGACAGACAAAUACUUUGAAAUGAAGUGUGGCUCAGCUGUCAUCAGUUCAUCUUGUAUUGAUUCACUGCAUUCAGGGCAGGGAGCUCUUGCAUUACAUUCAUUUAGCUUACGCUUUUAUCCAAAGCAACUUUUACAGUAAGGGUCUUGACAUUCUGCAUGCUAAGUGUCAUACGAUUCUUUCUUUGCAUUAUGUACAGUACAUCAAAUUACCACUGAAGUAAAUCCUCACCCACUGAAAUGUGUACUACUACAGCAAUUGCUAGCUAAGCUAGCUACUGCUCUUGGUGGUGGAUGAGCAUGUAUGUCACACAGCAUUAUUACUUCUACUGAAAAUGCCAUUUUAUUUUAGGGUAUGUGGCAAGGGGUGCUUUACCAUGUCACAGGCAUGCAUGAAUGGGACCUUGGCAGAUGUCAACAUCCAGCCUGGGAUGUGGCGAGCCGUGAGAGAGACCACAUUUGAUAUCUAUAUGUCAACCAGAAAGUUUCGUAGGUCAUACGUAUGAAAACAUAUUUUAUUUUUUGUAUGCCUGAAGAAUUAUGAGGAGAGUUCAACAAGUUCACUAGAGAAUGAUGCCACCACUGAUAUGGGAAUGCCACACAGUAAAUUGUCACUGCCAACUAAUGUUAAACUUGUUGUCUUUCAGAGAGUGUACAGCAAGAAGUCCAAACGUUAGUGUCCACAUAGUAAAAGCUGCCAGGGUGUGUGUGUGUGUGUGUGUGUGUGUGUGUGUCUCUCUCUCUCUCUCUCUCUCUCUCUCUCUCUCUCUCUCUCUCUCUCUCUCUCUCUCUCUCUCUCUCUCUCUCUCUCUCUCUCUCUCUCUCUCUCUCUCUCUCUCUCUCUCUAGCACAUGACUGCAUAACAGACAAUGGGAGCAAGAAAAAUUCCUCAGAACAUGGCUUAGACAGUCCUUUAUUAUAAAUAUUUAUUGAUGGACUUGUAAAACAUUAAAUAUACAGUAUAUACAGACAUUGUAAAACUUGUAAAAAGAUAUGACAUUGAAAAAAAUGUGAAUUUUAGUUUAAAAUUUUUUAAAUGAAAGUUUUUAAAAUAAAGCUGCUUGUAUAAAAAAAUGAAAAGGUCGUUUUUCUUUAUAGUUAAUGAACUCACGCCGGAACACAACACAUUUUCACACAUGCUUUUUUUUUCUUUCACAACAAACUUUUUUACUUUGUCCUUGUCCUCCACCCUCUAGCAUCAGUGUCUCUGCUUUCAUCUAGUAGAGCUGCUGCAUAGCCUUUAGAAAGGGAAACCUGAAAGGAAAACAGUGACAGUGUAGAAAAUGGCAUGUUUUAUUGUGAUACAUUCCCUAUUUUAUGUAUGCUGAUUGACAGUAACAGUAAAAUAAACAAGUGUAUGUAUAGGUUACAACAAAGUAAACCACUAGAAACUAGACAGUUACAAGAUGUUUUUUUUCAGAACACAUAACUCUGUCAUUACCUGCACAGGUUGUAAAGCCACCUGAGACCAAUUGAUUUGUGAAUUUGAGCUAUAUGAAUAACAUUUUAUUGAUUUGCUGUUAUAAUUGAUGUCAGUUUAGGACUGUCGUUGUCUCUACAAACUCCAAGACCAAUUCAAUACAGUUAGUUGAAAGUAAGUCUGUAUUUUGCUGAAACAUUAGCGCAUCUAUUCAGCUAAAUGAGAGUUGCAAUUGAAACUCGUGUCAAUAGUGAAGUGUGGCAACGCUAUAAUAGGGCUAUAAUAUUCCAUGCAAUCUCGUGCAGUGUUGCUGUUUUGGUCGAUGCGUGCUCAUGCCCAAGGAUUGCGAGCACAACCAUGAGAGCGAGCAACAGAAGGCUGACUGCACUGUCACUUCACUGCCACAAAUGUCACUAAAAACAACCAAUUUUGGGAUCUUAUCUAAUGCCCCUUUAAUAGUGAAGGAGAUCAACAGACAGACAGAAUACGUAAUUUAGUUUGGUUUCUUAUCCUGCUGUUUUUAUGGUUGUUAAUAGAACGUUUGGACAGUCAAUGAGGAGAGAGGCGAACAAAACGGAACACACUUGUUUCUUUUUUUCAAAGGGUAACGUAAAGUGCUCUCUCUCGUCAGUCUGACUAACAGGAUGAUAACUGAUUUGUCUUUGGUCAUUUUGAUUCACUGAUGCCUAAAAAAGUCCUAACAUGCCCCUGUAUAUUUGUCUGUGAUAGAAAUACUUAAAACUCUUAGUACACAUCAACAUCUGCCACUUUGCAGAAGAAAAAAAUACAGUACUACACAUUUUUUUAUAAAUAAUGCAUACAUACAGUACUGUGCAAAGGUUUUAGGCAGGUGUGAAAAAAUGCUGUAAACUAAGAAUGCUUUCAAAAAUGGAAGUGUUAAUAGUUUAUGUUCAUCAAUUAACAAAAUGCAGUUAAUGAACAGAAGAGAAAUCUAAAUCAAAUCAACAUUUGGUGUGACCACCUUUUCCCUUCAAAACAGCAUCAAUUUUUCUAGGUACACUUGCUCACAGUUUUUGAAGGAACUCGGCUGGUAGGUUGUUCCAAACAUCUUGGAGAACUAACCACAGAUCUUCUGUGCAUUCUUAGUUUACAGCAUUUUUUCACACCUGCCUAAAGCUUGCACAGUAUUGUAUAUCUGAGUUUUUAUUCAACAUAGAACAUAUGAAUCAUACAACUUGGAGGAGAUGCUUAUAUAAUUACUCUUAUUUUAAUACAUUUUUUUACAUACCUGUUCCAAACCUUAUGAGAUGUAUUUUUUCUUCAUUGUUCAUAACAGAAUUCCUUAUACAUUAACAUAAGAAGCACAUUAUUCAGUACCAUACCAAUCCUACCGUCCCUAAAUUAACAUUCCUAUCACUAGCAUUUAAAGCUUAAGCCUAUAUGAUAGCACGAAAUAAAACAAACAAGUGCAGUGUUUC